CUGCGUCCGAAAACAAGCGCUUCGAUAUUCGAAAUUGGGCCGUUCGUUGGAAACUUCAUUUUGCAUUUGAAUAUGGAAAGCGUGCCGACAAUUAUCGUUGGUUUUUGACCGUUCACAUUUGGUGUUCUGCAUUUGAAUUUGUGAAAAGUUAGUUCGCGAAACGUGGUGUAAAUUUUGUUACGUGUGCGGACUGGUUUUGUAGUUGUUAGUGUUGUUUUGAUAGUUAGGUACUAACAACGUUGGAUCAUAAAUUAAGAAACAAAACCGACCAAUCAGACGCGACCUAUUUGCGCGGAUAAAACACGGCCGAAUAUAAAAACGAGUGAUUAAGAAAAAGAAAACAAAAUGCUAGUUGUUAUUCUGAGUGUUCUUUGAGAUGCGUGGGAAGUGAGUAGUGUGGAGUGUGGUGAAGAUGAUGGAAGCGGGUGCCCUGCCCCUGGAGGUGGACGACGAGGGUCGCGCUCUGCAGCAUCAGGGAUCCUCGACCGGCAGCGGCUCCUCAUCUGGUACGCCUUAUUAUAAUCAUAAGAAUGGCGAGUGGCGCGGCGAGCGCAGGAUGCUGGACAUCACGCGGGACAAGCCGGUCAAGGUGUGCGUGCGGGUCGUGGUGCCCGUGCGGGACCAUCCGAAGUUCAACUUCGUGGGAAAACUGCUGGGACCAAAGGGAAACUCGCUGAAGCGGUUACAGGAGGAUACGAUGUGCAAAAUGGCCGUCCUUGGACGAGGAUCUAUGAAAGAUCGGCAGAAGGAAGAAGAGCUCCGCGUCUCCGGGGACCCGAAGUUCGCCCACCUAUCGGACGAGCUUCACGUGGAGAUCAGCGCCUUCGCCACGCCGGCCGAGGCGCACGCGCGCAUCGCCUACGCCCUCGCCGAGCUGCGCCGCUUCCUCGUGCCGGACUACAACGACGACAUCCGCCAGGAGCAGAUGCUGGAGAUGCAGAUCCUGUCGUCUGUGUCGGAGCAGGCGCGCCGGCUGACCCCGCCCGCCUCCUCGCACAGCGGCAGCGAGGAGGCGCUGCCCGCCGCCGCCGCCAACAAGCACCGGUUAUCGGGCGCGCCGCCCACGCCACAGGCGCCGCUGGGCGGUGUGAUGACGUCACCCGCCCCCGCCGCGCGCGAGUUCUCCCCGCCCGCCCCCGCGCCCGCCCCCGACCACCUGGCGCAUCAUCAGCCAUACCUGUUGCAGAUGGGCGGGCACGGCGCGCCGGCGCUGCCGGUGGGCGGGCACGGGCUGAUGAUGGGCGGCGGCGUGGUGCAGCAGCAGCACCACCUGCUGGCACAGAACUCCUUGCUCGGUGGCAGCGACAUCCUGGGCCUCAGCAGCCCGGUGCUGGGCGGUGUGCUCCACCACCCGGCGCUGCGCGGGGUCAAGCCGGGGCACGUGCUCGCCACGCAAGGUCGGUGCGGCUGGGGCGGGUGCGACGGCGCGCAAGCGGCCGCUGCUGGGCGGAGCGCGGGCCGCCAUGUCGCCGACUAAACGCGCCGUCAUGACGCUGCUGGCCCGCGCCAGGGCCGCCACGCACAAACACGGCCCUGCCUGGCCCGCGCCGCAUGAGCACACAGCUCUGCUGCCGCUCAUAAGAGACGAAUUCGUGACGGGCGUCGGCGUAAAUAUCAAUUUAGCAUAAUCCUAGAGUAACUCAUACAAUGAUCUAGUCAAAAGUAUUAUAUUUAAUUGUAUUUAUAUCAACGAAGUCGGGAGACACGACCACACUCGCCAAAAGCUGAAGACAGAAUGACAUUAUGAGGCCCGAACAUCUCCCGACCCUAAAAUACUUAGUAUAGUAGUUAGUUAGAAAAAAAAUCAAAUAUAAAAUUCCCUGUGUACCUUAUGCAAAUGAAAAACGCCGAUUGCUUUUGAAAAUAUUAAUUUCUAUACUAUAGAUUCUGCUUUAAGUUCUAUAGCCAAAACGAUCGAGGGCGGAAAUUAAAAAUUUAGAUCGAAAUCCACAAUCUGCCUUUGGGAUUGACAAUUGAAAUCUCUCAGCAAUUUUACAUAGAAUCAUGGAAGUAGAAAAAAAGGCGGAAGGAAUCUCGCUUACUAAAACACUGAAGCACCACAAUGGCGGCGAUAUGAGAGUGUGCGGGUGCGUAGAUGCGACGUGAUUGGCGCGCGGCGGCAAACUGACUUACUUUGAGUGUGAAUGUGUGUGUGUGUCGGGCUCGUCGUAACAAAGAAAGUGACUUUUACUUAGGGUGCUUCAGUUUUUAGUUCGUGAUAUUCCUUCCGCCUUUUUUCUACUUCCAUGCAUAGAAUAUAAUAUUUAUUAUGACUUCACAACAGAAGCCGUAAUCAUAAAGGUGUCGAUUGAUAUUGAAUAUUCGCUCGGGGUGAGCAAGUUACACCUUCAAUAUUCGACAUAACAGAGGCGCGAGCACAGGAUUCGAUUCUAUUUUCGAAUCUACACAAACAUAUUGAUAAAGAACAGUAUGUCAACUGUCACUGUCAAAAUGUAAGGUGAAUUUGUCAGUUCCAAAAGUGACAUUUGUUUUUUCCAUAUGUUCAUGUAGAUUCGAAAAUAGUAUCGAAUCCUGUGAUCGCUGCGCAGUACAUUGAGGCGAGCAACUCCAUACAGCUAAAAAAGUUUACAUUAUAGUAGUCCACUGCUAGACGUAGGCCUCUCCCAAAGCACGUCACUGGAUGCGAUGUAUACAUUUUCACAUCCAAUCAUUCAGUACAAGCCACCUUUCGGAAUUUGUCAUCCUCUCUAGCCGGAGGGCGUAGACUACAUUGGUCUAGUCGCAAAACAAAUACAGCGCGAAUAUAUUUAUAUUCAUGCAUAUACAGGAUGCUGCAAAAGCGGUAUAUAAAUCCAAAAGGGGAAUCACGAACAUUAUAAUGUCAAUCAGCACCUUUAGAGCGGUAUCAUGUUUUAAUGAGGGAAAUGAUUAAAAUUCCCAUGUACAUAGGUCAAUUUAAAUAAAACCCCAAUUAGUAUAAGCUACUUUAAAUUAACGGACCAUUUGUAUUUAAAAUAUUAUCCUUUGCCUUUUAGAAAAAAUAUGUAUUGUAUAUUUUUUAUGUGAAAAAGUUGAAUAAACGCCAUUACAAAAUCCGUAUUUUAUAAUGACGUUUGUUUGUCUUUAAAGAUGAUCUUAUAUGUAUUAUAGUAAUUAAUGUAAAAAGUACUUACUAGUUAUAUUGAAUAGCCAAAUUUUACAGAAAUGAUUAUCUAAGAAUGAUGUGAAAAUACUCGUAAAUAUAAUUUAUGGACGAAAUAAUAUAUAAAAAGACAUAAAAAAUUAAAUAUAGGUACUGUUUUCAUGGAUAAAUUAAAAUAUAUUACUUAUACAUUCUUAUCUCAAUUUUAAUAAAUAACACGACCACAAUAUUUGUUAAUAAAUACUUAUUCGAUUAUAAAACACAGUUUACUGAAAUUGGGCACUUCAAAAAUAAUUAAGAUAACUAAUCUUACUAACAUUACUUAACAUAAUAAAAAUAAAAUUAUAAAUUGGUAAAAAACUAAAAUAUUAAAAUUAUAAUGAUCCAGGUACCGACGACGGUGCGAUAACUUGGUUUCACUAUAAAUAAAUUAAUACUUAAGUAUAAUAACUUAAAAAGAUAUAAAAUUGCGUCCUUAACUUGAGCAAACAAAACCGGAGGCAAAGUCAUAAAAACUAAUGACAAACUAUUAGUAGAAUGAAGUGAGGUUACGUUAAUAAUUUUAAAUUAAUUUAUCUAAGAACUAAACAACCCCUCAUAUAGAUGUGUCAACAAAGUGUCACAUGCCUUGAGGGUCACUUUUACCAAACGUAUAAAUUUUAAACUUUAGUUAAAUUCCAUUUAGAGAACAAUCCGUAUACUUAUAAACUUUUUAGUGAUUAGUGUCAUCACUUAAUAAAAAUAAAUGCAUACAGUGGCGGUGAUACAAUGUUUUGAAUCAAUGUUGGAUCAAUGAUAAUGUCGUAUGUGAGGGGUUAAAUAAAAAUAAAUAUAAAUGUGUGUAUAAAAUUUUGUAAAAUAAUAAAUUGUGUAAUGGCUUUAUUCUCGUCUGUGUUUUGUGAUAUCUAGUUAGCAGAGUUUUGCGAUAUCUUUAUUAUAUCAAAUAGCAUUAUUAUAUCAGAUAUUCUAAUCUGAUUUUACUAUUCCCUUGUAAUUUGGAUCAAUCCCUCGAACCAAAAGGAUUUAACUAUGGGUUAGCCAAUUUGCAGAGAAUGGUGAAAUUGGGCCUUGGUCAUGUAAGUAGUAUUUUAUGUUUCAGUUUAUGCAAACUGUAAAAAAACAUAAGUAAGUAA